UUUGCUGACUUCUGAGCUGCCUUAAUAAGUGUGGAUGAAUGCCAGGAACCAGAAAUCCAAAUUUGGGACAAUCAUCCAGAAUUUUUUCAUGUGUUUGGACUGACCCUUGGUUUUCUCUUUACUUUCAUUUUCAAAUGUAUUUUUACUUUCCUUAUGUUGGUUUCUGAAUUCUUCUUAAGAGAGACCUUUGUCCUACCGUAACUGGCCAAGAUAGAGAGGAACUUUGGCAGUUGGUGCGUGGCCUGGUAGCACCUAAAGGAGAACAAGUCUGGAGCUACCAGGAAGGAUGGAGGAGAGAUCAAGAUGGAAAGUGUUGGGCCCAGCUGUGGGCCUGCCUGAGUCUUUCCCCCUAUUCCUUUUGAAUGAGAGGCUGGCAUCAUUUCUCUGCUCUGGAGACUGGCCGUUGGGCUGUCAAAAAUCUUCAGAGGGCAGCUCUUGGCAGCAACACAGAACAAGCACUGGGGACUUUGUCUGCAGAAGCACAUGCUGGAAGUAAUUCUGGGGCACCUGCAAGUUGACAACAUGAGAGAUACUGAAAAUUAAUAGCCCAGUGCCUUCAUCCGAUGGUGUGAGUGGGAGUAAUCAACAAAGCCUGAGAUGGAUGGAGUCGAUGACAGAAGGUAACAGGGAGGAGUACCUGCUUAUUCCAAGAGGCAUUAUGGAUUCAGAAGAGGAAAUCCAGAGAUAACACUUCCUGGAAGUGAAUUCUGACCAUGAGACUCUGGUAAGUAAUUUAACUUCUCUGUGUCUCGUUUUCCACAUAUGUAAAUUGGUGACAAUAAAAAUACUUAGUUCAUGGGG